rnacentral:rRNA from 1 species
GACGAACGCUGGCGGCGUGCUUAACACAUGCAAGUCGAACGGAAAGGCCCUGCUUUUGUGGGGUGCUCGAGUGGCGAACGGGUGAGUAACACGUGAGUAACCUGCCCUUGACUUUGGGAUAACUUCAGGAAACUGGGGCUAAUACCGGAUAGGAGCUCCUGCUGCAUGGUGGGGGUUGGAAAGUUUCGGCGGUUGGGGAUGGACUCGCGGCUUAUCAGCUUGUUGGUGGGGUAGUGGCUUACCAAGGCUUUGACGGGUAGCCGGCCUGAGCGGGUGACCGGCCACAUUGGGACUGACAUACGGCCCAAAUUCCUACGGGAGGCAGCAGUGGGGAAUAUUGCACUAUGGGCGGAAGCCUGAUGCAGCAACGCCGCGUGCGGGAUGUCGGCCUUCGGGUUGUAAACCGUUUUCGCCUGUGACGAAGCGUGAGUGACGGUAAUGGGUAAAGAAGCACCGGCUAACUACGUG